rnacentral:lncRNA from 1 species
AUCUGUUUAAUAAAUAUACAUCAUAAAAGUACCAAAAUAAUUACCAACAAUACAUUAUGUACACCAUUUACAGGAGGGUAACACAAACCUUGACAGGUAGUAACUUUUCACCCCACAUCACUGAACGCUUAACACUCCUGGCUGUUACAUGUCACAGGAUACCACUGGGGUCAGUCACUCGAAGCACAAUAAAUAUAAAAUGUGGUCCUUCCAUGAAAUUUUUGAUAACCUUCUCCAAAAACCCCACAAAGGUGAGGUUUAAAAGAAGUUUUCUCAGAAUUUCAAUGAUCUUUCUCGUCCCCUACAAAAAG